rnacentral:rRNA from 1 species
ACCGCCAGCUAAGGUCCCAAAGUCAUGGUUAAGUGGGAAACGAUGUGGGAAGGCCCAGACAGCCAGGAUGUUGGCUUAGAAGCAGCCAUCAUUUAAAGAAAGCGUAAUAGCUCACUGGUCGAGUCGGCCUGCGCGGAAGAUGUAACGGGGCUAAACCAUGCACCGAAGCUGCGGCAGCGACGCUUAUGCGUUGUUGGGUAGGGGAGCGUUCUGUAAGCCUGUGAAGGUGUACUGUGAGGUAUGCUGGAGGUAUCAGAAGUGCGAAUGCUGACAUAAGUAACGAUAAAGCGGGUGAAAAGCCCGCUCGCCGGAAGACCAAGGGUUCCUGUCCAACGUUAAUCGGGGCAGGGUGAGUCGACCCCUAAGGCGAGGCCGAAAGGCGUAGUCGAUGGGAAACAGGUUAAUAUUCCUGUACUUGGUGUUACUGCGAAGGGGGGACGGAGAAGGCUAUGUUGGCCGGGCGACGGUUGUCCCGGUUUAAGCGUGUAGGCUGGUUUUCCAGGCAAAUCCGGAAAAUCAAGGCCGAGGCGUGAUGACGAGGCACUACGGUGCUGAAGCAACAAAUGCCCUGCUUCCAGGAAAAGCCUCUAAGCAUCAGGUAACAUCAAAUCGUACCCCAAACCGACACAGGUGGUCAGGUAGAGAAUACCAAGGCGCUUGAGAGAACUCGGGUGAAGGAACUAGGCAAAAUGGUGCCGUAACU